UACGGGAGGGACUAGCGUUGUUCGGAAUUACUGGGCGUAAAGCGCACGUAGGCGGAUUUGUAAGUCAGGGUGAAAUCCCGGGGCUCAACCUCGGAACUGCCUUUGAUACUGGCGAUCUUGAGUCCGGAAGAGGUGAGUGGAACUCCUAGUGUAGAGGUGGAAUUCGUAGAUAUUAGGAAGAACACCAGUGGCGAAGGCGGCUCACUGGUCCGGUACUGACGCUGAGGUGCGAAAGCGUGGGGAGCAAACAGG
rnacentral:rRNA from 1 species